rnacentral:sRNA from 1 species
AACCGUUGCAAUCGGCGGUGCAGGGGCCUAUAUCAACCCCAUCGACCAUUGCUUGUGACGUUGUCCGGGGCUGAUUGCCCUACCGAUUUCCUCUCAAAAUCGAUCUCUUUCGCGAAUACCCGCGAAGGAAACACCAAUGAAGGGAAAUCACUAUGUCAACCGGAACAGUAAAAUGGUUCAAUGCUGCCAAGGGUUUUGGCUUUAUCCAGCCCGAUGACGGCAGCACGGACGUUUUCGUUCAUAUUUCUGCCGUUGAGCGUGCAGGCAUGCAGUCGCUCAAUGACGGUCAGAAAUUGAGCUAUGAAGUCGUUCG